rnacentral:rRNA from 1 species
AUACGUAGGGGGCGAGCGUUGUCCGGAAUGAUUGGGCGUAAAGGGCGCGUAGGCGGCCCGGUAAGUCUGGAGUGAAAGUCCUGUUUUUAAGAUGGGAAUUGCUUUGGAUACUGUCGGGCUUGAGUGCAGGAGAGGUAAGUGGAAUUCCCAGUGUAGCGGUGAAAUGCGUAGAGAUUGGGAGGAACACCAGUGGCGAAGGCGACUUACUGGACUGUAACUGACGCUGAGGCGCGAAAGUGUGGGGAGCAAACAGGAUUAGAUACCCUGGUAGUCCACACUGUAAACGAUGAAUGCUAGGUGUAGGGGGUAUCGACCCCUUCUGUGCCGCAGUCAACACAAUAAGCAUUCCGCCUGGGGAGUACGGCCGCAAGGUUGAAACUCAGAGGAAUUGACGGGG